GUGUUCCAACAGUCCCGGUGUCCUGGUGAUUUUAUCCCCACACCAUUACGUUAAUCCACCCUUCUAGUUUCUUCCUUCCACCGAUUCUUAUCCAAACCUUUCGGUUGUCUUUCUUCCUUCCUCCGCUAUAGUUCAUUUCCACCACCGUCCAAUCCAGCGCGUCCACUUUAUCCAUAGGUAUCGGUCUACCAAAAGUUGUGGAAGUCGCAUGACUGCUACCGUGUGGCUCCUCCAACUUCCUUUCUCUUCUUCUUCAUUUGAAAUUGAUUACCCAGGUAACUGCAUCUGCAUCUGCAUCUCCUCUCGUAUGUUCAUCUCCUCUCACCGAUUUCAUACAUCGUCUUCAUAAUUGAACCUUGGACGCACUAUAAACACCUCCACGGCAUCUCCCUCAAGAAACUAUUCUCAAGGACAUUUCAGGUCAAUCAAUUUACAGCAAACUAUUUUCGUUUUUUCUUUUGUUUGAUUGGUGCAUCAUAUGUUUUGGUUAGGAGUUAAAUAAAGAAUUUGAAUUCUUCAUUUGGAAAUACGAAGAUUUAAUUCAUUUUAGGAUCCAUGGAUUCUAAUGAUUUUGUAAGAAAUUGAAAUCAAUUUUGUAAGAACAAUUGAAAUUUAGCUCUUAUUGUAAAGUUGUUGUUUAUGUAUCAAUUUAUGUUGUUUUUUUAAGUUCAUGAUCAUCAUUGAUGAUUUACAAGCUAUGAGUUUAUACAAAGUAUGUAGCAAUGUAAUUGUUUUGUAGUAAUGAUGUUGUAUGUAGCAAAACCAACAAUUACAAAUAUGAUUCAGAACUUUCGAAGGCUAAAAGAAGAGUAGGAGAGACUACUAACAUGGUUCUUGGAGGAACAAUCACCAAUGACUCCACCUAUGACUCUCUCAGUCUGAAUAAAAUGCUAAACAUAUACCCACUUGCUCGAGGAUUUACAGCCAUUGGAUCUGGAGGUGAUGAUUUUCUGCAAUCCAUGGUUGUUGCUGUUGAGUCUGUAGGUUCCCCUUUUCACGCCUAGAUAUGUAUGAUGCAUAAUCAGAAAUCAAGUGUGUUUCAGCAACUGUACCAGCUUGCUCAACAGAAGAUACUGAAUCUGAAAUCAACCAUCAAAUGUUCAAAAAAGUGAUAAUUAAACAGCAUCCAAGGAUGAGUACAUACAUGAUUUGUAUGCUGUGAAAGAUGAUGAAGAUACAUCAUCCCCAUUUCCAUUGUAAGGAUUCAUCACUUUUCUCUAAGGCUCCAUGAAUUACCUUUUUGGCCUUGCCUCUACAUUUCAGCAGUUUGAUGUUAGUCAAGACAACAGCCAGUUUGAACAGACAAUCACGCCUACAUAUAUCAGGUUCUUCUGUUGAUAAUAAAUAACUUUGAUUUUUUGGAAAAGAGGAAGAAAUCUAUGUGUUUAGAAGUAUUUCUUUUUUUGAUAAAAUUAGAAAUGUGGUGAAUUAUAGGAACACAAGAACCAUAUAUGCACAAAGAAUGGUUGUUGAAGCAAUGAAGAAGAUGGAGACUCCUCCAUCCCCUGUUCGGUUCUUGCCUUUGAUCAAUGAACAAAACCUAAAGGGCCAGUUUUGGCCCCAAAUAAAGUAUUAAAAACCAACAAAUUAGCAUCACUUAAUAGCUCAUAUAGGAGUUGAAAUCUGGAGAAUUGAAAACUUUCAACUACUUCCUUUGCCCAAAUCAGAUUAUGGUAGAUUCUACAUGGGUGAAACCCGAUCCUAAUGCUAUCCCUCAUUUUUUUUAGUUUCCCAAAUCAACGGUUUCAAUUAAUAAAAUACCAACUUAUCAUUGGGGAUUAGGUUAUUUUCAUCGUUGGUUUAUGAUAAAAAGGUUUUCCCCUGUUUUUAAACUAUCAUAUAACCUUUUUUGUAUUAAUUUUCCUUCUUAUCACUAACAAUAAUGUCUAACUAUUUUUUUUAAAUUGUGGUGGAGGCUGCAACAUCAUGUUGGGGGAUGUUUGUUAAUUCGUGGUGUUGAAGGCGUGUAGAAAAGAUGUCGUCUCAACUCAAAAGCGAGCAUUGCACACUAGCUAUCGCCCGAAUCUCAACCGUUGCAGCCAGUUUAGUCAUCAUAACACGUCUAGCAGUCAACCGGUCUGCCCGACUGCAUAGAAGAUUCCAUUGGGUUUAAAGCUACAAGGGAGACCCGAUAAAGGUCAAGGAGGAGGAAUUGGAGCAGUACCCAUGAGAGGCAACAGUUGGGCUGGUGUUGUCUUAGACUAAAUUUGGUUAAAUUAAUUUUGUACUCAAGUGUUUUAAAAAGAGAAUACAUUUCGGUUUGCUUUUACUUUACUUCAUUUUUUAAGCAUCAUACUUUCAUAGUCAA